CCCUGGGUGGCUCAGUUGGUAGAGCAUGGGGCUCUUGAUCUCAGGGUUGUGAGUUUGAGUCCCACGUUGGGUG
rnacentral:tRNA from 1 species